UAGAGACUAACUAAAUUAUUAAAUUAGUUAUAAAAAUUACUUUCAGUUUAUUAGAGUUGAUAUCGCGUUUUGCGGUACCGUAUUUUGUGCCAAACCACAUAUAGUUGUUAUCAUUUAAUUCUAACAACUUUUUAGAUUUAACAACUUGGUAGUAUGUUUCCCACAGUUAUUUGGUUCAGUAUUCAAGGAAUAUUCUCCCCCAUCGAAGUUUUAAAUAAUUCUCCUUGCGCUUUUAAAUUCUAUAAAAUUUAUAAUAAAUGGAACAAUUCUUUAAUAUUUAUACAGCAUUGGAUUGCAGUUCUUCGUUUUUACUGAUUCAAAUUUUACUCAAUUGAUCAUCUGUCAACACUUAGGGCAAGCAUAGAACUUUACCCAAUUGAGUUUCAUAUAUGCUUAACCUAAAGGAGUGAGUUCCUAGUCCAAAUUUGCACAAUUUAAAGUCGAAUCACACACCAUCUGGUUCUUCAUUACCAAUUUUAUUGGGUGUGCCACCUAUAUCUCCAUGAAAAGAAAGUAGGUUGAGCUGUGUAAUACAACCAAGAAUGAAUAGAGAUUCCUAACAAUCAUUAGAUCAUGAGUUAGAAAUAUAUCAGUUUACAAAAAGUCCAACAUCUUUCAAAAUUGGUGAUGGCGGUGUUUCAUUAAGGAAUUGACAAAAAUAUUUGUUGCAAUUAAAAUUAUGGAACGGUUAAACAACUGGAAGAAAGAAACCUAUUAGAAAGCUAAAGUGUACAACUGCACAAUAUAAGUAUAUUAAAGAGACCAUACCCAAUAUGCCGAGAAUAAACUAGAAAAUGGCAUUGGAGAUAUCUUGAAUGGAGCGCCGGAUAGAAAAGACGUCAGUGAUCGUGAAAUACUAAACCACGAUAACAGUUUUUAUGAUAUUUUCUAUAACUGUAAUUUGAAAUAUGUUUUAAUCUUGGGUAUACUUUUCAUUAUGUAUACUUUAAA